rnacentral:rRNA from 1 species
AGAGUUGAUCAUGGCUCAGGACGAACGCUGGCGGCGUGCUUAACACAUGCAAGUCGAGCGAUGAAGCUUCUUCGGAAGUGGAUUAGCGGCGGACGGGUGAGUAACACGUGGGUAACCUGCCUCAUAGAGGGGAAUAGCCUUCCGAAAGGAAGAUUAAUACCGCAUAAGAUUGUAAUAUCGCAUGAUAUAGCAAUUAAAGGAGUAAUCCGCUAUGAGAUGGACCCGCGUCGCAUUAGCUAGUUGGUGAGGUAACGGCUCACCAAGGCGACGAUGCGUAGCCGACCUGAGAGGGUGAUCGGCCACAUUGGGACUGAGACACGGCCCAGACUCCUACGGGAGGCAGCAGUGGGGAAUAUUGCACAAUGGGGGAAACCCUGAUGCAGCCAACGCCGCGUGAGUGAUGACGGUCUUCGGAUUGUAAAGCUCUGUCUUCAGGGACGAUAAUGACGGUACCUGAGGAGGAAGCCACGGCUAACUACGUGCCAGCCGCAGC